ensembl:lncRNA
GAGUUCCACGGGCUCUUAGUGCAUUAAUAAGCUUGAUCUUUUUAUUCAAAUACAAGGAGCAACCACAGCCGGCUCCAGGUCACGUGUCCUGAUCACAUGGUGCUCAGACGCCGAAACCGGCUGGCGAUCAUUAACUAGUGCUUACUCCCGGGAGAGAAUGCAGGUUUUAAAGAGACGAACUCUUAUUUUUAUAAAACAGCCAGGACUGCAAUAGAAGUUUUGCUCUCCCCUAGGACUUGACAAAGUUGCCCCGCGGAGCCCCGGUUUCCAGGCCUGCAGGAGCGGCGGGCUGCAGCAUCCUGGACUCGGAGCGGAGGGAGGGGGGGGCGGGCGCGUUUGGCGCUGCGCCCUCGCGCCUGGGAAAUGGAGGACGGAUUUCUGAAGUUAGCGGAAAGCCACGUUUUCUUUCCCUUAUGAAAUUCCUGCUUCUGGGUCGAUGGAGUCCGGUAGGGGUGUGUUUUGUUUCGCAUUAUACGAAGAAUACUUUCCAAAAACACUGUGCAAAAUGGCCUCAGCCUUACAGGAAAAACCACCCGUGAUGGUCUGCAGCCUUAUAUCCUAUUUCAUUGAACUGUUUUCGGAAACAAUAAAUAUGUAAAGAAUUUCCAGUGUUCUACGUUCACUGUAUCACUGAAAUAUAUGUAUUUCAGGAAAUUUCCCUAGUGAGGGAGUUUGCUUGUCUCUGUUCUUUCCCCUGCUCUGCCUCUUCAAAACGAUGACAGUCUGUGACCUAAAGGAUGGAUCCAGAUCUUUUGAAGAGAAUGUAAAAUUUAUAUAUACAAAAUUUGAUAUUAAAGUAUCACAAAAUUCAGAAAAAAUACUUAUUAUUUAACACACCUCUAAAAUCCUUUUUAUCCUGCAUUUUGGAGGGCGUGUUCUUGGAGGGGCUCAUAUUCUUGAAAGGAGAGAACUUUAAUCUUGACCAGCUGUCAAUUUUAAGUGUGCCUACCAUUGUACAAAUUUAAUGAUUAGAAAAAUUUUCCCCGGACCAGCUUCUGACUAGUCUGUUCUGGCUUUGUCUGUUCCACAUCUUGUCUCUCCUCCCCCAGCCCACAGUAUCUCUGGGGCUGACGCUGCAGGACACACUCGUGUUGUAAUGUGACCUCUGGAUCUGAGCCUACACAUCUCCGUGCUGGGUAAUUGUGUCAACCUCCUGCCUGGUCGAAUGAUUCUGGAAACAGUAUAGCAAGCAUCCACUUUAGAAUCUCCUUCUAGCUCUUUCUGGGAAGUACAGAUGCCCUCUCCCUGAGAACUUCUAUGGUCGUCAUCAAAGUUGUGCUCUCCAGAGAAAGCUCAGCUCACCACCAGUGACCCAUCAGGGUUCUUGGCCUCAGAUGAGGGACCGGAGGCAGCGAGGGUCAUUCUGUUUCCCGUGGUUGUGUGGCUGGUAGGAGUUGGAGCUAGAAGUCAAGCCCAGGUCUGUCUGAUUUCUGUCCUUCCUCCUGUCCCAAGCUCACAGCCUGUCAGUGCUCUCCGUCCUGUCCCCUCCUGGCUCAUCAAGAAGCUUGCUCCAUUUGUUACCCUUCCUCUCUUUGUCUCUUCCACUUUCCCUCUCUCCUUGCUUCUUUCCAUCAAGGUGAUCAAACCAAAACAAGGGUCUCAACUACUGUAUGAAGUUGAAGUUUUUCAAAUGUUUG